rnacentral:lncRNA from 1 species
CUCGUUAAUGGUGUAUCUUCGUGGAUGAGUUGCCCACAGCCUAUGCAUCAGAACCUAUACAAAAAUGUAUAUUCAUGAGCAUAGAGAGGAAAGUACACACAUUGAGGAGAAAAAAAGUUGGUGGCAGCUACCCGUGGAUUUUGGUAUCCACAUUGCCUAAAUUUCAGAGCCUACACAAGAUGUGUAUAUUCCUGAGUGUAGGAAGGAAGUUAGCACACUGAAAGAAGAAUGGAAAGCUUCUAAAGAAGUAAAGGCAUUGAAGCUACAUGCAAGGUGGUGAAUCGGGGGCUUAAGCGCAAAUCUUAAGCUGUUGUGCUCCUGG